AGUUUGAUCCUGGCUCAGGAUGAACGCUAGCUACAGGCUUAACACAUGCAAGUCGAGGGGCAGCAUGGUCUUAGCUUGCUAAGGCUGAUGGCGACCGGCGCACGGGUGAGUAACACGUAUCCAACCUGCCGUCUACUCUUGGCCAGCCUUCUGAAAGGAAGGUUAAUCCAGGAUGGCAUCAUGAGUUCACAUGUCCGCAUGAUUAAAGGUAUUUUCCGGUAGACGAUGGGGAUGCGUUCCAUUAGAUAGUAGGCGGGGUAACGGCCCACCUAGUCAACGAUGGAUAGGGGUUCUGAGAGGAAGGUCCCCCACAUUGGAACUGAGACACGGUCCAAACUCCUACGGGAGGCAGCAGUGAGGAAUAUUGGUCAAUGGGCGAUGGCCUGAACCAGCCAAGUAGCGUGAAGGAUGACUGCCCUAUGGGUUGUAAACUUCUUUUAUAAAGGAAUAAAGUCGGGUAUGCAUACCCGUUUGCAUGUACUUUAUGAAUAAGGAUCGGCUAACUCCGUGCCAGCAGCCGCGGUAAUACGGAGGAUCCGAGCGUUAUCCGGACUUAUUGGGUUUAAAGGGAGCGUAGAUGGAUGUUUAAGUCAGUUGUGAAAGUUUGCGGCUCAACCGUAAAAUUGCAGUUGAUACUGGAUGUCUUGAGUGCAGUUGAGGCAGGCGGAAUUCGUGGUGUAGCGGUGAAAUGCUUAGAUAUCACGAAGAACUCCGAUUGCGAAGGCAGCCUGCUAAGCUGCAACUGACAUUGAGGCUCGAAAGUGUGGGUAUCAAACAGGAUUAGAUACCCUGGUAGUCCACACGGUAAACGAUGAAUACUCGCUGUUUGCGAUAUACGGCAAGCGGCCAAGCGAAAGCGUUAAGUAUUCCACCUGGGGAGUACGCCGGCAACGGUGAAACUCAAAGGAAUUGACGGGGGCCCGCACAAGCGGAGGAACAUGUGGUUUAAUUCGAUGAUACGCGAGGAACCUUACCCGGGCUUAAAUUGCACUCGAAUGAUCCGGAAACGGUUCAGCUAGCAAUAGCGAGUGUGAAGGUGCUGCAUGGUUGUCGUCAGCUCGUGCCGUGAGGUGUCGGCUUAAGUGCCAUAACGAGCGCAACCCUUGUUGUCAGUUACUAACAGGUGAUGCUGAGGACUCUGACAAGACUGCCAUCGUAAGAUGUGAGGAAGGUGG
rnacentral:rRNA from 1 species